UUUGUUUAACGGCCGCGGUAUUUUGACGUGCGAAGGUAGCGCAAUCACUUGUCUUUUAAAUGAAGACCCGUAUGAAUGGCAUAACGAGGGCUUAACUGUCUCCUCUUUCAGGUCAAUGAAAUUGAUCUUUCCGUGCAGAAGCGGAAAUACAGACAUAAGACGAGAAGACCCUAUGGAGCUUCAGACACCAGAGCAGCCCACGUUAAGCACCCCGAAUAACGGACUAAACCGAGUGGACCCUGCCCUAAUGUCUUUGGUUGGGGCGACCGCGGGGAAUUAAAAAACCCCCACGUGGAGCGGGAGCACUCCUCCUACAACUAAGAGCCACAGCUCUAGUCAACAGAACUUCUGACCAGCAAGAUCCGGCAAUGCCGAUCAACGGACCGAGUUACCCUAGGGAUAACAGCGCAAUCCUCUUUUAGAGCCCAUAUCGACAAGGGGUUUACGACCUCGAUGUUGGAUCAGGACAUCCUAAUGGU
rnacentral:rRNA from 1 species